UACGGGGGGGGCAAGCGUUGUUCGGAAUUACUGGGCGUAAAGGGUCCGUAGGUGGCUUGCUAAGUCAGACGUGAAAUCCCUCGGCUUAACCGGGGAACUGCGUCUGAGACUGGCGAGCUUGAGUGCAGGAGAGGAACGCGGAAUUCCAGGUGUAGCGGUGAAAUGCGUAGAUAUCUGGAGGAACACCGGUGGCGAAGGCGGCGUUCUGGACUGCAACUGACACUGAAAGACGAAAGCCAGGGGAGCAAACGGG
rnacentral:rRNA from 1 species